rnacentral:rRNA from 1 species
AUGGAGUAUGGCCCCUACAUCCAAGAGCUAUUCAAGCAUUGGAACACGAAGUUCGGCCACAAGCCCAUCACUUUGCAUCAUUGCUACAAAGAGCUAUGCAAGAAUGAGAAGUGGAUCCAAAGAAUUGCGGUGACCACUCUGAAGAGGUCAAGGUUGAGCAUAUCCGUUGAGGAGGACGACGAGGUUGAUGAAGAUGCCAACAGUAGACCGGAAGGAAACAAGAUUGCAAAAGAAAGAAAGAAGAGGAAUGCAUUUGGUGGCACUUACAAGGAUGAACUUGUGGCAAUGACCGAGACCAAGAAGAUUUUGGUGGCCGAACGCAAAGAAGACAAGAUGACCAGGUGGAAUGAGCUCAAGGCCUUCGAGGAUGAGAAGUGGAAGACCAAGUUGGCGAACGAAGAGAGAAAGUUGAAGGCCGAGGAGCGUAAGCUUGCACUUGAGGAGGAGAGUAUUCGUGAUGCGGAGAAGGCCGAAGAGCGUGCUAUCAUGUUCAUGAAUCCACACACAAUGGAUGAAACCGCAAGAAAGUAUUGGGAGGUCAGUCAUGGAGAAAUUUUGGCCUCUCUUCGGAAUGCUGGUGGUGGCCGAGGGGGUGGUGGUGGUGGUGAUGGUGGCCGAGAGGGUGGUGGUGGUGGUGAUGGUGGCCGAGAGGAGAGGAUGUCAAGGUUGAUUUCUUUGCCUAGGACGUUGUUUGAGUGGUGGUGGCCGAGAGGGUGGUGGUGCAUGCCAAAGAUUGGCUCGAUCCACAACAUAUACAUGCUAUGUUUGUGGUGA